GAGAGAGGCUGGUUAGCAACGAAGACUGCUAAUCUUCGCCACCUUGGUUAGACCCCUGGGCUCAUUCA
rnacentral:tRNA from 1 species